rnacentral:rRNA from 1 species
GAUGAACGCUGGCGGCGUGCCUAAUACAUGCAAGUCGAGCGAACAGACGAGGAGCUUGCUCCUUCGACGUUAGCGGCGGACGGGUGAGUAACACGUAGGUAACCUACCUAUAAGACUGGGAUAACUUCGGGAAACCGGAACUAAUACCGGAUAAUAUUUCGAACCGCAUGGUUCGAUAGUGAAAGAUGGCUUUGCUAUCACUUAUAGAUGGACCUGCGCCGUAUUAGCUAGUUGGUAAGGUAACGGCUUACCAAGGCAACGAUACGUAGCCGACCUGAGAGGGUGAUCGGCCACACUGGAACUGAGACACGGUCCAGACUCCUACGGGAGGCAGCAGUAGGGAAUCUUCCGCAAUGGGCGAAAGCCUGACGGAGCAACGCCGCGUGAGUGAUGAAGGUCUUCUGAUCGUAAAACUCUGUUAUUAGGGAAGAACAAACGUGUAAGUAACUGUGCACGUCUUGACGGUACCUAAUCAGAAAGCCACGGCUAACUACGUG